AUGUCAAAUUCAUUCAUUUGUAUUUUUGCCUCUUGCAUUGCCAGGGCACUCCAGUAUGCCCUCCUAUCAGGUAACUGAGGGGUAUCAAUUCCAAAUCUUGGAUGAAAAGUUUUUUGGCAUAUAUAAACAGAAUAUGAACAUGGCGACUUGUUACUAAUUAAAAUGUUCAAUUUUAAUAGAAGUGCCAUGGCAGGAACAUGUUAGGCAGACCAAAUAACUAAAAUGCUCAAUUUAGUGAUAGGAACAUGUAAAUGUGAGGAAUGGAAAAGGAAACAGACCAAAUAUAUAAAUAAAAACGGAAAAAGCAGAGGUAGAAUAUAGUUAGGUAGUGCCAUGGUUUUUAAGAAGGGUCAAGGGUCCUAUGUGUCCAAAAUUUAUAUAUUUUUUUUGUAUUUAAUGCAUUCUCAAUCUAUAUAAUAAGGGGGGAAGGUUUUUGAAAAUGUAUAAAAUGUAUGUGAGAUACAUUUUAAUCCAAUGGCUAAGAUUAAUCCAAGUUUAUAUCAAUGGUUCAGAUCAAUGGAUCUCCCGUCCAAACAACUCUUUGCUCUCUCUCCCACGUCUAAGCUAAACAUAUCUGCUCUACACAUUCUCUCUCAUCCGCCUCCUCCUCCCAACGGCAUUUUCUUCACACUUUUCUUCUCUAUGGCUUACUACCUCCUCCAUCGUUAGCGCGAUUAGAUCCGAUCCUCCACCCCUCUCCACAUCGUCACUCUCUCCGAACUCGCUGCCAUCGCCUCCCUCAUCGCUUCCUUCAUCUACCUCCUCGGUUUUUUCGGCAUUGGUUUCGUCCAAUCCUUCAUCACCCGUGUUUCUCACGACUGCUUCAUCCUCAAAGAAGAUCGCCGCCUCCUUUCUUGCUCCUCCUCCGCCUUCAUCGUUCUUCAUUGCACCGUCCCCCUCCUGUGCCCAAACUGAUAGAUCUGCCGCAUGUGAAUCGUCAAAUCAGUGUGAUUUGGGUUUGAUUGGUGUGAUUAGGAGGAGGAGAGAGAGACACAGCGUCUGGGUCUGGAUGCAUGAGUGCUGUUUUUCAAAUCUUUGAUUUCCAUCAGUUUCAGUUUGCAUUGCACCAACAAGUACCCCCUUUUAAGCCUGAUCUUGACGCUUUUCUUUCUGAAGAACCCACUCUCCUCAAAGGUAAGUCUCUCUCUCUCUCUCUCUCUCUCUCUCUCCAUGGGUGCAAAUGUUUUCCUAAAUAAUUUUGGAGACAAUGUUUCUGCAAGAGAAUUGCAAUAUCUGUUUUUCUCCAGCUCACAGCACAUGCACACCAUUCUGUUGUGUUUCCCCCCCUCCCCCUCCCUCAAGUGCUCCUUCUACUGUUUUGAAUUUUUGAAAUCCAGUAGAACCUCAGUUGUUUUCUGGUGAUUCUAUCCCCCUCUGUUAAAUCGAAAAUUAAUUUAUGUUCAAUCAAAGAAACAUGAAAAUUUCAGGGUUAUUUUAGUUGUUUUCAAGGUGUGAUGUGAAUAUAUUGUGGUAUUGAAUAAAUUUGGCCCUUUUAAAGUUUUUUAAGUUGUCCUUUUCAUUCUUUUUAUUUGUAAUAAUCUAAAAAAUGUAGUUUAACUUUGUUUUAGUGUGUAUUGUUUGCUCUAUUUUGGUUUUAGUUGGUGAAAUUUGUCCUCAGCUUAAGAAGGUCUUGAUGGAAUUGGUUUGGGAAAAGUUUCAUUUGAAGUUAGAGUUUUGAAUUGGUUUCAUCUAAGUACUUUUUAACUGUUGACAAUGUAAUGUUCAAGGUACCUUUAAUUUUGAACUUUUUUUUUUAAAAUAAAAAAAAGAAGCUUUAUUUAAAUUCUAAAAUAGAAAUUAUUUAUUUAUCCAAUCUUUUAUUUGUUACUGACACGAAACUGAACCCUAUUCUCUUCCAACAGACACUUCCUUGCUAUUUUUCAACUGCAGGCCUUUGGAACUGUGUGCCAAGGUGAAGCAUCACCAUUGAUUUUUAUUGUGGUAUGAUAUUCGACAGACACUUCCCAUCUAUUGGAUGCUUUGCAAUAUGCAUACCAUAUCUCUUACAUUUUGUUAGUUUGGCUGAGAUCAUUCCAAACUUUAGAUCCAACGGUUAAAUAGAUAAGUUGGACAAUGUGUUGUUGCCUAGACUUUCGUUUCUGAGAUAAGUCACCCUCACCAACUAGCUAAUGAUGAACUGUGAAGUCCAUAAGCUAAUAUGUCAAUUUACUCUCAGUUAAAUAAAACUAGAAGUAUUUUGUUUGUUGUUUUUCUCUCAUUUGGCAUUGCCAUUGCCUAAUAAAAUGAGCAACCAUCAUAAUGUGAGUAGAAUAUAUAGAGCUUGGGAUAACAACCAUGUCAAUACAUUCUCUCUCUAUAUUUUUGUGUGUGUAGAAAAAGACAUCAUGCUGCAUUUUGUCAAGUUACAGCUGAUAACGAACAUGGUUAUAACAUAAGCUAAAUGGUAAAAUUGUCAAAAAUGCUAUCGAGUUUCCCAUAUUUUAAUUGUACACUGUAAAUAAUUAUAAGCAUUCUAUUUGGGGGGAUAAAUGGUUGUUGGAGGCUACACAAGACCUGGGAUUGAAUCAUGGAAUAGUAAAAUAACAGAAAGUGAUUAACAUUUAUAUGGUAAUGGAAAAUAAUUCAUGGUUAUAAUACUAGAUUUGUUAACAAUCUGACUUCAAAUAAUUAAAUUCUUUCUCUCUCUAAUUAUUUAUUGCAGAGCUGGAAUAUCUCACAGCAUUCUAUUUUGUUUUUUUUAAAUGGAUUGGUUUUCUUUUGGAAAAUAUAUUAUUUAUUGCUUGAUUGCUUGAUUUUACUUUAUCUUUUGAUUUGUUUGCCUGCCAGGAAAUCUUGAGAUGAUUUUUGGAUCUCAAUGCUUGAGAUUAGUAAAACCGGACCUCUCUUUCUCGAAGUCGCCAUUAAGACUGAGUUUCUCUAUCAUAUUUCUUUACUAAGUGUCUGUCCGGUGCUUCCCUGUCGGAGCCCAACCCUUGCCGGCGACCGAACCCCAAACCCCCUAUUACUCUCUUCAUCUCCUCUCUUCUUCCCUCCCUUCCUCCCUCCGUCCGCCAUCCCAAUCGUCAUCAACAGUGGCAGCCCCAAACCCGCUUCAAUAUUGACGAAUGGAACCAUUGUGCAAGGGUGUUUUUUAAUUGGGAAUGAGACUGAUAUUUGGCCUUUGAUUUUUCAGGUUAUUGGAAUUGAUCUUUUGUCACAAUCUCUAUUGCCGGCUAUAGUUGAACUUGCUAAGGAUAGGCAUUGGAGGGUUCGACUUGCAAUAAUAGAGUACAUACCUUUAUUGGCAAGUCAGUUGGGUGUGGGAUUUUUUGAUGAUAAGCUUGGUGCUCUCUGUAUGCAGUGGUUGCAGGAUAAGUUCAUGAAUUUUUGACGCGGUUCAUCAGUUUCUAUAAUGAAAGGUAUUCAAAUUUUUUUCAUUAAAGUUUUGAUAAAUGUCAUUUCCUUUCUCCCUCUAAUCAUUAUUUUUCUCCCAAAUUUUAGUUUGUUAUUUUCUGCUAUUUUCAUAUUGUGUUGUGUUUUUUUGCUAGUGGUCAUCAAUUUCUAGGUUCUCAAUAUAAUCAAAGGUAUCGAUAUUAGAAUGGCUAUUGAACGACUUUCAAAUCCCUUUAACUUUGGCCAAUUUUUAGGGCAACAAUUUCAUUUUUAAAAUUGUCUUAGUUAAUGUAUUUGAUGGCUUCUUAAAAAAAGUACAAAAUAAAGGAGAAAUAAUCCUGGGAUUAAUCUUCUUCUGUCCAAUCUUCUCCUGUCCAAUUUUAUUACAGGUAUACACUGUCAUCCCAACUUUAAUCUUGGGACAAAAUGUUUGGAGAUAUUGGGAUUAAUCUUGGGAGUAAUCCCUGCAUCAAUUUUAUAGCAAUUGUCAUCCCAACAUUAAUCUCAAAAUGUUGUCAUUGGGGUUUACUAUCCCAACAUCCCAACAUAGAUAGACAUGAGUGAUGACCCAUCACUACUGAUUGUCCUAUAUAUAAUACAAAAAACUCCCAGAUUGGGGACACACUAAUAGACCUUCUUGAGACUCCUUUAACUUUGCCAUUCUAUGUCAACAACUUAAUUUUUUUUUUAAUUUUUUUAAUUUUCCAACAGUGGCUUCAAGACCCAUCGUUCAACACCAAAAUAGAGAUAUUUUACAUUGUCUAUUCAAUUUCCCUUUCUCUGCUCUUGAUCGUUGUUGUUGGUUAAUUAUGUUGUUUGGAUUUAUUGUUUGAAUUCUGAAUCUUGAAGGAUUUGUUGUUUGGAUUUGUUGGUUGAUAAUAUUUUGUAUUAUUUUUAAGAUUUCAUGUACAGCACACAGUGCUUCCCUUUUGCAAUAGUCAGCCUUCUAUUUAACAUGUAACUUUAUAGAGAUAUGUCCAAUUUUGGAGUUAAUAAUAAUGUAUUUUGGAGUUGAGCCCAUCUCAAUCUCAAUUAAA